rnacentral:rRNA from 1 species
GCCCGAAGUGAUGGCCGAUCUAUUGGGCUAAAGCGUCCGUAGCUGCCGCACAAGUCCAUCGGGGAAAUCCACCUGCUCAACAGGUGGGCGUCCGGUGGAAACUGUGUGGCUUGGGACCGGAAGGCGCGACGGGUACGUCCGGGGUAGGAGUGAAAUCCUGUAAUCCUGGACGGACCGCCGAUGGCGAAAGCACGUCGCGAAGACGGAUCCGACAGUGAGGGACGAAAGCUAGGGUCUCGAACCGGAUUAGAUACCCGGGUAGUCCUAGCCGUAAACACUGCCUGCUAGGUGUGGCACCCACUACGAGUGGGUGCUGUGCCGUAGGGAAGCCGCUAAGCAGGCCGCCUGGGAAGUACGUCCGCAAGGAUGAAACUUAAAGGAAUUGGCGGGGGAGCACUACAACCGGAGGAGCCUGCGGUUUAAUUGGACUCAACGCCGGACAUCUCACCAGCAUCGACUGUAAUAAUGACGAUCAGGUUGAUGACCUUAUCCGAGUUUCAGAGAGGAGGUGCAUGGCCGCCGUCAGCUCGUACCGUGAGGCGUCCUGUUAAGUCAGGCAACGAGCGAGACCCGCAUCGAUACUUGCCAGCAACGCUGUGAAGCGGUUGGGGACAGUAUCGAGACUGCCGUGGCCAACACGGAGGAAGGAACGGGCAACGGUAGGUCAGUAUGCCCCGAAUGUGCUGGGCAACACGCGGGCUACAAUGGUCGGGACAAAGGGUUCCAACUCCGAAAGGAGACGGUAAUCUCAGAAACUCGAUCGUAGUUCGGAUUGUGGGCUGCAACUCGCCCACAUGAAGCUGGAUUCGGUAGUAAUCGCGUGUCAAAAGCGCGCGGUGAAUACGUCCCUGCUCC